UAAACACAAAUAAAAAUAUCCCCCACAAUACAGAUCUAUCACAAAUAAGCCCUAUCUCACGCUUCGCUGCCAUUCACAGUCCGAUUACCUCCCAAAGUGGUGCAUUGAGAUCGAUGACAAAUGAUUCGUGUUGUAUAUUCAGCUAGGGUUUAAUAGGGUAGGAUUUCUUUUUCAAUUCGAUCAGUCGAUCACCAACCACUGAAGUUAUGAACAGGGCUAAGGCUGGUUUGGGAGUACUCGAUGGGCGAUUCGGGUAGGGUGCUUCUUAGAACGUUUUUUCGAAGCCGUUGUUUAAUCGGAAACAACUUGUGGGCAUUGGUGGUGGUUUGGUGGUUUGCACAGCUGGCUGCUAAAGAUAUGGCUGAGGUAAUGUUGGUGAGGAAUAGGGACACCAAUGAAAGUAAGGGUUUUGCAUUUGUGGGAUCAUAAGUAAAGAUGUUGCUUAAAAGGUCAUUAAAGAGCUACAUAACAAAGAUUUUAAGGGUAAGACCAUAAGGUGUUCGCUUUCUGAAUCUAAAUACAGACCAUUUAUUAGCAUUGUGCCAAAGACUUGACUACAACGUACCUGGAGGAAAGCUGAAUCAGGGCCUCUUUGUUCAUGCAGAAUCAGAAGAAAGUUCUGAUGAAGAGCCAGCAAAACCAUAAGCUGCAAAAUAGGUAGGAGGAUAUAUUGGUUUAAAACUGUAAAAAGAUAGGUAGAUUGUUUACUUCAAAUUGUGUCUUUUUUUUAUUUGAUUGGACUACAGGUUGAAAAGAAUAGGGGUGCUAAACGGGUUGUGUUUGUAGGUUGUCGGCUUCAACCCAACCCAAAAAUUUUAGACGAACCAGAACACGACCCGUACCCGAAAAUCUUGUCAUACAUAUGAACCCGAAAACAACCUAAAUAUUUGCAGGUUGACCCGAACAUAACCCGUUCAACCAGGAUUUUAUUAAUUUUUGAUUUUUUCAGCAAAUUAAUAUAUUAAAACGAAAAUUUACUCAAAAACACACAAAUAUGUAUAAUACAAUUAUAUCAAAAUUAUGGCAUAAAAACACACAAUAUUUAAUUUAUGACAUAAAACAUAUUAUACAAAAAUAUAAUUUAAUAUAAAUGGGUCAACCCGCUAACCUAACCGGGUUGACCUAACCCCGUUUAGCUAAACUGGUUUACGGGUUCGACAUGAAAUAAGCCAAACCCGUUUAGACUAAACCCAAACCUGUGAAUUUUGUGUUACGUUUGUGUCGUGCUUUCGGGUCGUGUCAGAAAUUCACAUCCCUAACGAAGAAGAUGAAAGCUCCAAAGAGAAGGAUGAACCGCAAAAUGAAAAAAAAGUACUAAUUUCUUUCAAUUUUGUUGAUAAUAAUCUAUACAUGUUUUUUAGUCUUAACCAAGGUUUAAAAGAACGGAAACGAGUUUCGAAGCGUUUUCCCUUCGCCUCACGAGGUGUAAGCCUCGAGGCGAAACGAGGCGUACGGC